GUUUCAGUAGUAUCCACAUGGGUGGAGCUGCAGAGGAGGGGAGCACUGAGGGAGCAUCAGCCAGAAGACCAAUACCGCAAACCUGACAAACAGUCUGGACAGGACGAGGCGAUGUGCACAGAGACACAGGGCCAAAACUAAACAAACGGGUCUGAGGGACCGUAUCUGUCGAUCCAGGGUUCAAUUCAGCCUCACAGGGCUCAACGAGGACUCCUAUCUCGAUGGGGGGGAGCCCUGAUCCCGGGUUCUCUGCGUCCUCGCCAGGAUCCUGGGGAGUCGGGCCGAGGUGGCCAGACAGGCCUUCCAUUCUGCCCUGCGGUGUUUUGCUUUUGGGGUAAGGAGAGCCCCUCAGAUGAGACGGUACUGUCACAGCAGUGACCUUUGACCCCGGGGGAUUCAGAGGUUGGGCCUAGGAGGUCGCUCCUGCAGUGCUGCACUAUCCCGUGUCAGAGAUCCACACGCUGCACAGGCGAGCCGGGUAAACUGGAGGCAGCGGAGCAAAUGCGUGUGAAGAGGCGAAGACAGGAGCUGUCAUCCAAAACCCGCCGGCCCUCCCUAAGCCAGCCGCCACCGGCGCUGACCUCGGCGCACGGCGAGCUCGGGGGGCGAGAGGAGAAGCGCAGGUCCGCAGAUGGGCAGAAAGCGCCUUAAUACGGGAGCCUGGUGACGAGCGGACGCCCGCGGCGGCGGCGGCGCACACGCUGUAGAGCGGAGGCGUAAGCUCCCAUGUAGAUGCAGCUACCAUGACUAACCUCUGCCCCACACCAGGAUGUCAGAACCAGCCCCAAACACGGCCGACUACAAACAAACAGAUGCCCCGAAUUCCACUUUCACUUGAAACAGUCGGCUGACCCCCCUUUGCCCUCUGUUCAGGUUACCUCUGCCCACUCUCACCCUCAGGCCAACGCUAAUCCAAUAGAGAGCCCACUUAAAAAGAGGCUGAACAGGAAGACGCUGGGCUUCCUCCACCCCCCACCAGCCUGCCGGUAUCAGGAAGGGGACGUGAGGAUGGGCUGCCAUUAAAUCAUGGUAGAAAAUAAGUAAGGUUAAGACUGUAAUGGCCACCUAAUACAUAUGUUAUUCUUGAAGUUGCUCAAUGCUCAAGGGAAAAUGGUGCAUUUCAGGGUUUUUAGUUCAGAACCUUUAACAGUAAAUGUACAAAAACAGCCUGCAGACAAAAAUGUUAUCCUACAACCUGAUGGUUGAUGAUAGAAAAUGAAACCUAAGCAAUAAGAAAACAUCAGAAAAAGUUAAAGGAGAGUGAUGUGAUGUUUAAAAACUGCUAAUUUAAUCUAAAACAUCCAAUAGAUUAAUAAGCUAAAUAAGUGUAAAGUGAUUCUACAAAAUUCUCUGGAUGAUGGAUUUAAACCUCUGAGACUGUAAAUCCACAAAACAGGCCUUUCACAAUAAGGGUUCUCCUUCUUUUUCCAUUAGGUGAACUAGUUAGAAUUUGAACAGAAUCAUUUGACAAAUUAAAAACGAGGUUUGUGGAAGCAGCUGAAAUGUCUGAAAAGGUGUUGAGAGUCGUUAUGUUUCAUGCUCAGGGGACCACACUUCAUAGUCAUUGACAUAUUUCAGAGCAGAUCUGUCUGGUGGAUAAUGUACAACUGAGGGCUGACCCCUAACAUUAUGGGAUGCUUGUGUAAAAACACUUCGCCCAACUCUUUUCCUCUUUUUGCUUUUCCAUCUGCGACGAAACCAAAUUUCCUCCGUUCGUGAUGCAUUUUUAAUAUCGCCGCCUUCUCUCCUUGAUCACUCCAUCGCUCAAAUGGACUCUCUCGCUUGUGCUGCUGGCGCUUUUCGGCGCGUUCUCAGAACCCAGAAGGCAAUAUCCGGAUUAGGUUUUGUGGUUGCGCCAUAAAAUACCCUGACUGAGUGACACUGUUGUGCAGAGCUCUCCGUCCCCUCGUACCGGAGGCAGCGCCACAUAAUAAACAUGUCUGUCAAAAUGCUGCAGACGAUGAGGAGGCAAAGGUUUCCUUUGUGCACGAUCUGCUCCUUGUUUUUGCUGCUCAUCAUCUGUAACUGACAUAAACAAUAAUAAUAACAUUGACUGUAAUUGCUGUAAUCUGACCUUCCUCCCGCUGGUAAUGGGAUGACUCCACUCACCUGCUGUCGCUGAUGCUUGCUCGGGCCCACGUGGCUCCGGUGCAUCUGGGGCUCCCAGGUGGCCGCUGACCCAACAGGCCCGGUUGUCUCCAGGAGACGAACAGAGCCGUACUCAUCGUUGUAAUUGUCAGGAAUGUCCUCAUGGGGACGGGACAGACGCGCAUUCACAUGGCGCCUAAUCGGAGUCAUGCUCCCCGAGCAUAAUUUCGGAGGAGACUUGUUGAACAACGGCCUUGUCCUCCUUCAAACUGCUGCAGGGACUCGACGUCCUCCUCACCCCGACGUAACCAGCGCAGGACACUGUUAGUUUGUCGCUUGGCCCAUGUCGCCGUCUGCUAAACGCCACAUCCGUCCAGUGCCACGUUAAACAAUGUGUUGCCUUUGGCUCUAAUUAUUCUGUUGAACAACUCGGGCUCACGCUUUGCUCCAAAAGGCCAAAGCUCAGCAGCUACGACGGCGCAGAGUGUGUGAUUCCUGCAGAUCAGGCCGUUCCACGUUCCGAUACGCUCCCCUUGAGUUUUAGGCAACUGUGAAAUCAAAUGGGAACAUCCCAUAAUCACUGUCUUAUUUUGACAGUGAGCACCGCUGCCAGUUACACGUCGUUCUUUUCUCUGCUGCGUUUGCAGCUCCGAUGACUCCUGUGUUCUGCAGCGGGAGCUUUGGUGUGAAACAGUAAAAUCGCGGGCGAUAAAUCCAAAACAAUAAGUUGGACAAUGCUAAAACGAGCAUUUUAUUUAUAGUUUCCAGAAUAUUUCAUCGCAAGCUAUAAAACUGAUCUGGUUUUUAUCUGUUUUCCUUUGCACAAAAGUACUUUGGUGAAGUACUGAUGUUUUAAUCAUCACUUUGCAUAAAGCAGAAAUCUGUAAGUGGAUUAAACUUUUAAACACAAGGAUUCCGAAAGCUUUCAUAGUAUUAAUGUGUUUGUAUUAAGAAAAACAGGUUUCUAACUAUAUAAAUAGACCAGUUAUUAUAACAGGUGACUGAUUCCUUCACUGUGAUUUGCGGGUUCAGAUGUGAUGUAAGUCAGCUGCAGUAGUCGUCACUGCAUCCAGGAGUCUGUAGCAAUUACAGUAACAGAGCUUUACAACGUAUAAGUGCAGGACAGGGCCUCCGGCUGCCGCCGGCCUCCGCGCUCGCCAUCGCGCAGCCCCGUAUUAUUCUAAAUCUGUGCGACGUCUUGGCACAAGGCGAGCAGGCGUCUGUCUUUAACAACGUGACAGUUGGCAAGUGGGCCGACCGAGCAUUAAAGACACAUGUUGGAUAAUACACUUGUCUACACACACGUUUGCCAAAAUUGCUUCCACCAGUCAGCUCUUCAAAUGGUGGCAAGAAUUCCCUGACAUUUCUAUGAUCGCGGAUUUAAAAUUAAUAAUUCCUUUUAUAUUGUAUAACCACCCUUGGCUUUUUAAUCCCAGCGAGAGCUCGUGUCCUUUUGGUUUAGUAAUGCAUCAUAUUUUACAGACUUCAGCUCCUCUGGGGACUUUGAUUUACUCUGAGAAUUAGCAGACAUGAAGUAAUUUAUGGAACUAUUUCAGUGCAUCAUAGUAAAAUUAUGGAGCAGGCCCUUUUCUUUAUUAUUGUGCCAGCCGUUUCCUGCCAAAUUUGCUCGAGCCGUGGCAGAUUGACGGUAAACAGCUUUGUAAAUGUGCAGCUAAUGGUCCACAUGCAGGGGUAAUAUUUCAAACUGGGAAAAUUGUGCCACAAUUCAACGGUAAUUUCACAAUCUUGUGUCACUAUCCUUGUAUGAAUUUGAAGUUCGUUUGGAGCAGCCUUGUGCCGCAGCGGCUUCGGGCCUGUCACAGUGAGCUGGUGGCAAACAUUUCUGCAACUUGAUGUAUCGCAGCGAAGGGAUUUGUCGAAAUUCUGCUCACGGACGACAAUGAGAGGGACGUGUUUGUGUGCUUCUAAAGAUAGUGACUCACAUGGAAAACACAAGACAGAGCGAGCACGAGAAUUCGACCUGUAAACUGCGUGGUUCCUGAAAUUGGUGGCUUAGACAAUUAGAGCACAGGGGUCCAAACGGGGGUCCUGGCCAGUGGCCCACCCAACCGCGUGAUUUAGCCUGAAAGGUAGCAGCGAUGAUGGAGGGUCACAGACAAAGGCUCCACUCACCAGUGCUCUUUUGCUUUACGCCUCACUCUCACGCGCAUCGCUCUUCAGUCACUUAUUGAAUUAGGUCUAAUCACUCAAUUAAAGUCACAUGGAGCAGCAGGAUACGUUGUCCCAAGCGGAGCGCGGGGCUCCGGAUAACGGCCGCUGUGUUGUUGUUCGUGGGAAGUUUCAAAACAAGAUGUCUGAAAUGUUAGCACUGUGACAGACGCCCCAGUCACUGGCCACAAUCCGAUGUGUUUGACGACAGCUCGGGAAAUCACCAACGUGGACCGCUAUCAAAUACAAGCGUUUUAAUGACUAUGUCUUAGUUGAAAGUUGAAAUCCAUAAAUCACACACUGACAAGGUGAGAAGGUUGCAGAAUGUAAAUCAGAGUAAUGUGAUGUCAUGUACAACAGUAAGUGACUGGUACUAAAUGAUAACUGAUGAGAGUGGAUCGUCUUGCUCAGGUCCGGCACCUUCACCACAUCAGAGCUACGUCAGACCCUGCAGGCCUCAAUGAGCACGUGCAGCUCCAACAGCGGGUUCUAGAGGUGUGACGUCAGGCAAAACGACACCAGUCCGAAAUGUGGAGGAGAAUCUGGCAUAAAGAGUAGAAGACAUGAAAAUAAUACAGAAAGUACCAAAAAACACUGUUUGUUGUUUAAAAUAUAAAAAGACAAAUAAACACAAAUGGUCUUAAAACUAUCAUAGAAAAUCAAAGAUGCAAAUUUAAACACUAAUAAUACUAAAUAAUCACAAUAAUAAAAUAAGUUUUGUUAUUUAUAUAAUAAGAAAUAUGGGCGUGUACUGUAGGUUCAGGGCUUUGUGCGGGGUCGCGUCCGGGGUCAACGCAUACACGUACGCGGGGAUCCGCCGGGGCCUCGGCCGGCCGGGUGUUGAGGGGCAGCUGUGACUGAGGAGGAAAUGGGCUGUGGCAUGUUGACUCAGGGGUAAAUCUCCCCGGACUUUUCAAAAGGCCGCUAUUAGAUUUUAAUCGCCCCGCGAUCCGGGAUGCGCCGCGAAGCCGAGAGGGAAGACUGAUGAGCGCGCAGCGUGAGGGGCGUGAGCGCCAACCCAUCCAGAAGCUGCAAUCAACGCUUUGGAUGGAUGAGUGCAAGCUAAUGCUGAAGAAGCAGAAUUAUCUCCCAAAAUAGGAAAGUUACGCUCUUCUUUCCACUUUUUACGCUCUGUCGUUUAUUCAAAACUGGCCCUCGCCGGCUUUUGAACAAUUGGUUCAUAAAGCCACUAAA